rnacentral:miRNA from 15 species
UUCGCGGUGCGGCUCAUUUGCG